rnacentral:rRNA from 1 species
GUGAGGAAUAUUGGUCAAUGGACGAGAGUCUGAACCAGCCAAGUAGCGUGAAGGAUGACUGCCCUAUGGGUUGUAAACUUCUUUUAUAUGGGAAUAAAGUAUUCCACGUGUGGAAUUUUGUAUGUACCAUAUGAAUAAGGAUCGGCUAACUCCGUGCCAGCAGCCGCGGUAAUACGGAGGAUCCGAGCGUUAUCCGGAUUUAUUGGGUUUAAAGGGAGCGUAGGUGGAUUGUUAAGUCAGUUGUGAAAGUUUGCGGCUCAACCGUAAAAUUGCAGUUGAAACUGGCAGUCUUGAGUACAGUAGAGGUGGGCGGAAUUCGUGGUGUAGCGGUGAAAUGCUUAGAUAUCACGAAGAACUCCGAUUGCGAAGGCAGCUCACUAGACUGCAACUGACACUGAUGCUCGAAAGUGUGGGUAUCAAACAGGAUUAGAUACCCUGGUAGUCC